rnacentral:misc_RNA from 1 species
CAGUUGCCGCAGUCCCUCACCCG